GUGGGGAAUCUUCCGCAAUGGACGAAAGUCUGACGGAGCGACGCCGCGUGAGUGAAGAAGGCCUUCGGGUCGUAAAGCUCUGUCAUCAGGGACGAAUGGCCGGUGGAGUGGAAAGCCACCGGAUUGACGGUACCUGAGAAGGAAGCCACGGCUAACUACGUGCCAGCAGCCGCGGUAAUACGUAGGUGGCAAGCGUUGUCCGGAAUUAUUGGGCGUAAAGCGCGCGCAGGUGGGAUCUUAAGUCCAUUUUGAAAGUUCGGAGCUCAACUCCGUGAUGGGAUGGAAACUGGGAGUCUUGAGUACCGGAGAGGAAAGCGGAAUUCCCCGUGUAGCGGUGAAAUGCGUAGAUAUGGGGAGGAACACCAGUGGCGAAGGCGGCUUUCUGGACGGUGUCUGACACUGAGGCGCGAAAGCCAGGGGAGCGAACGGGAUUAGAAACCCCUGUAGUCC
rnacentral:rRNA from 1 species